rnacentral:rRNA from 1 species
AUUGAACGCUGGCGGCAGGCUUAACACAUGCAAGUCGAGCGGGGUGAUGGUGCUUGCACUAUCACUUAGCGGCGGACGGGUGAGUAAUGCUUAGGAAUCUGCCUAUUAGUGGGGGACAACAUCUCGAAAGGGAUGCUAAUACCGCAUACGUCCUACGGGAGAAAGCAGGGGAUCACUUGUGACCUUGCGCUAAUAGAUGAGCCUAAGACGCGAUUAGCUAGUUGGUGGGGUAAAGGCCUACCAAGGCGACGAUCUGUAGCGGGUCUGAGAGGAUGAUCCGCCACACUGGGACUGAGACACGGCCCAGACUCCUACGGGAGGCAGCAGUGGGGAAUUUUGGACAAUGGGGGGAACCCUGAUCCAGCCAUGCCGCGUGUGUGAAGAAGGCCUUAUGGUUGUAAAGCACUUUAAGCGAGGAGGAGGCUCUUUUGGUUAAUACCCAAGAUGAGUGGACGUUACUCGCAGAAUAAGCACCGGCUAACUCUGUGCCAGCCGCCGCCGUAA